GGUGUAUGUGCUUGGCUGAGGAGC
rnacentral:piRNA from 7 species